rnacentral:rRNA from 1 species
CGCGGCCUAUCAGCUUGUUGGUGGGGUAACGGCCCACCAAGGCGACGACGGGUAGCCGGCCUGAGAGGGCGACCGGCCACACUGGGACUGAGACACGGCCCAGACUCCUACGGGAGGCAGCAGUGGGGAAUAUUGCACAACGGGCGCAAGCCUGAUGCAGCGACGCCGCGUGAGGGAUGACGGCCUUCGGGUUGUAAACCUCUUUCAGUACCGACGAAGCGCAAGUGACGGUAGGUACAGAAGAAGCACCGGCCAACUACGUGCCAGCAGCCGCGGUAAUACGUAGGGUGCGAGCGUUGUCCGGAAUUACUGGGCGUAAAGAGCUCGUAGGCGGUUUGUCGCGUCGUCUGUGAAAACCCGCAGCUCAACUGCGGGCUUGCAGGCGAUACGGGCAGACUUGAGUACUGCAGGGGAGACUGGAAUUCCUGGUGUAGCGGUGAAAUGCGCAGAUAUCAGGAGGAACACCGGUGGCGAAGGCGGGUCUCUGGGCAGUAACUGACGCUGAGGAGCGAAAGCGUGGGUAGCGAACAGGAUUAGAUACCCUGGUAGUCCACGCCGUAAACGGUGAGCGCUAGGUGUGGGUUUCCUUCCACGGGACCCGUGCCGUAGCUAACGCAUUAAGCGCCCCGCCUGGGGAGUACGGGAU